rnacentral:rRNA from 1 species
GCCCAGGAGCUCCGGGAGAUACGCAUGGCCUGCUCGGGACCAUGGAUGUUAUGCGGCGAUUUCAACUUGAUCCUCCGCGAUGAGGACAAAAACAAUGGCAACCUGAACCGGCGCAUGAUGGGCAGAUUUCGCCGUCUUGUUAAUGACCUCGCCUUUUUUUUGAAAGAAAAGAUAUACCUCAAUGGACGCUGUUUUACUUGGUCAAACGAGCAGUCCCCACCCAUCUUGGUGCACCUGGACCGCGUGCUCUGCACCUCGGACUGGGAGGAGGCACAUGGCGAGUGUCAUCUCCACUGCCUCGCAUCCGUC